UCCGAUAUGGUGUAGUGGCCAACAUGAUGCCCUCUCAUCCUUGAUGCGAGGUUAGGCAUAGCCCCGAGUUCGAUUCUCGGUUUCGGAA
rfam:Colletotrichum gloeosporioides Cg-14 contig05128, whole genome shotgun sequence.